CAAAAACAGAAACAAUGGAAACUAGACAGCCAUGCCUCUGCAUAGGUCAACAACCAAGGUUAUCUGUAUUCAAUUACUGGUAUCUGCAAACUUGCAUACUGUCAGCUGAUCGUAGACUAAAUGAAAACUUAUCAUGCACAGAGGCAGCAAAUACAUUUAUUUGAAGCAGGCAUCAUAUUAGUUCACUGGUUUGACUGUGGUUAAGGGAAAAAAAGGGGUUAUCAGUCUUUUGGGAAAUUCUUUCAAAUAUAACCUGCAGCAAAUAUCUAAAAUUGGGGAUUAUCUAUGUUAUAAAUCUUUGUUCAAAAAGUAAAAAGGAACAGAAAUUACUCCACAGCCCUCUAAGACGAUAAAUUAUAUUAUUUAACAAUAGAUAAACUUAGGGCACCUUUCCUGUGGAGCAGCCCUAUUGUGAAUUCGGCUUUAAUCUGCUUCACCUUAACAUCUGUUCGGUGGAACCAAAGAUUUGGCUGUUUCGGACGCAGACAAUAAUUUGUUUGUUAACCGCUUCGCUGGAACAAUACAUCAUUGCAGAAAACAAAGCCUACCAACACAACGCGUUUUUAUCUGUUUCCUCUAUCUGUGUUCCUUUUUCCACAAGUGCAAGUUCAGGUUUUUGAACUGUUUUCCUAGUGAUAAUUUGUGAUGCUGUUAGUUUCAUAACCCUGGAAAAACAAAUUUUUUUUCAAGCUCCUUUUUCAUCUUUGACCAACAGAUGUUCUGUUCAAAACCUGUAAGUACUCAUGAGUUACAUACUAGCAAAUUAUAAUUGCUAACGCCCCUGUGGAAGGAAAAUGUCAAUAAAUAUUUGUUAUCGCUGGCCUGUUUGGAAACAAAGGCAUUUGCUUAACAGAAGUUCAUGUGCCAGAGCUUUUUAUGCAUCUUUUCCAGCAGUCCAUUCAAUUAGACAUCUAACAUUUUGUUUCUUUUCAGAAGAGGAAGUGAAAAUAACCUCACAGAAUCAAAAAUAAAGCAUAAAAGCAUGAGGGCAUCCUGUAUUCCAUGGUAAAAUAGCACUUCAGCUCAUUUCAGGGAUCCGAAUGCGGCCACAGAGCUGAGCUGUGAUCCAGCUCCAGCACUUCACCACUGCACACCAAAGCAGCAGUCAAGGGCAGAAAUCUAAAUGUCUAAAUGCAUGGCACCGUAAUGCAGAGAAAUGCCCCAUUAACAUCUGACUGCUGACAACUACAGUCCAUCCCUAUGGAUAGUCUCCCCCGGCCAGAUGACUCGACUAAAAUCAGACUUAACUGCAACUCCUCCAGCGAGACAUACAGAGUAUGCUUAGUUCUGACUUCUCCCCGAUGUCAGUGUAGUCCGGACUCAUCUUGCUACUGGAGGAGGAGGUAAUUCUUUCUAGAUGACUGAAAAAAGCAAAUGCUAUCAUUUUCAUGCCCAGAUGGUAAGCUGCUAGAGGCAUUCAGAACUGUCCUGCAGAAAUAUCAGAAAAAUUUACUUAUGCCACCAGUGCAGCAAAGAACUCUUAACACAUCCUUGCACUGUGCCAUUCCACUCCAAUCUGCUGCUUCUUGAGCCCUUGUAUCUCCCUCAUUUUAUCUCCGGGUGUGUCUGAAGCUGUAGUUCUGUUCUACAGACUAACAUCUAACACAUGCUGUGAUGAUUUAGCAAAUCAGCCUCUGCACCACUAAAAUGAAUGCUGUUUUACAGCGUGGACUGCACUGCAUGUGUUCGUUUCAGCCAGCGUACCCCAUGUGGGCUGGAGCUUCCUUGCCUUCUCCAUAGCUUUUUGUCCUCUUGUUAAUGCAAGGACCAGAGGAGUUGCAGGGUGCAUUCAUUUACCUGGCUACAGUGGAGCAUCCUUAAAAUGCAAGAAACUAGCCAUUCAAAUGAGACAGAAAUGGCUGCCACCCAAGGCAGGGGAAUCUUUCCAAGUCUGAACUCUAUGCAGGAUGCAACUUCUCAGUAGCUGCUUGUUUUAUGGAUUCAUUUGAGGAGCUGAUAAAGUUGAUAAGAGGGCUCCUGAGGUGUUUCACAAAUCAGGAGGACAGGGAUCUGCAUUUCUGAGAAGUCAUAUGCAGGAGUUUGGGUCUAGAAGAACUGUGACCUACUUAGAAGACUCUGACUUAAGCCCCAAAUAAUUCUCUUGCUCAAGCAUGAAUUACAAGCAGCUGAAGAAAGAUGAGCUUUCGCACUUGUGCUCCAGCCAACUUUGCCCACAUCUAAUGAGGAAAAGUAGGACUUGGUGCCAUUUUGUAUUCCCGUGAUGUGGUGCAGAUGGAGGCUCAGCACACGCUCCUCUGCCUCCCCUUGCAAAGCGCAGAGCUGGAAAGCAUCAGGUUGGAGAGCAGAGGAAGCGGUGGCUGUGAGAAGCUGCCUCACCCAUGGGAGCGGAGUCGGCAGCAGCUCUGGUGACUGGAAAUGGCUAAACUAGAGGAAAAUAUUAAACGGCCCAUGGCCAAAAGCUUGGGGAGUUAGAGCAGCAGCCGUCCAUGGAGGGAGGGGAAAGGCUGAGCCAUCACACCUCAGCUUAACCAGCCUUGGCAGAGGCAAAGAGGGUGGCACACGGGGGCUGGCCUCAGCCCUGAGCUGGAUGCAGGCCUCGCUGUGUGCCAGGCCCAGGCCCUGCCUGCAGCCACGUGGACCCGUGUCCCAUGGAAGGAGCGCUGCAGUGAGUCAGCCUUCUGAUGCAAGAUGGGAACACAGCUGGGCUGGGCAUUGCUGUGGGAUUAUAAACCAAAAAGAAAUGGAAAAAAGCCCUUGGGGAAAGGGAAUGCAACUGAUGGGAGAAACAGCAGAAGAGGUGGGGAGGAUGCAUUCUCGGUGCAUGCUUGGACCGCUGGGCUGUGGAUGUGAGGCUCCUGAGCUCUGUCACGGAGGCCACACUGAGCUGCCCGGGUGCACAAGCUGACAGUGCACAACGCUACCUGCUCACCGGGUCAGGGCUGCCCUGUGCUGCAGGCAGGGUUUUGUUCAGCAAGAGAAAGGUUUUCUACAUAAAAGGCCUCGUAUCCAAAAGACACCAUUUUAACUCGGCUGCAGCAGCACUGGGAAUGCAUACUGGGGAACAGGAAAAGUCCACGGGGCGGCUGUUGUCAGAAAACAGUUUCUGGAAAAAAUUAAAGUUCUCUUGAGGCAUGUAGAAAAAUUCCAGGACACUGUAUUAUUAUUGUUGUUAUUAUUACCCUUGAUCUUUUGGAAGGUGGAGAGGGAGCGCAUGCCGUUUUAAAGAAAGAAGACAGGACAUCUGCAGCCUUUAAAAAGCAAAGCACAAAGGCUGCUGGGCUCUCCUUACAGCAUUUUUAAUUAUCUUCCUUAAGUUUCCCAAAUAAAAACACAUCACAUUGAGCCUCACCCAAUAAAGCUAUGUGGGUAAAUACAAUACCCAUUGUCUAAUCAAUAUCAUAUUGCUCAUGGCUUUAGCUCGUUCAAUAUCUGAGAUCAUUGCCUCCCUACUCACACCUAAGGAUGCCAAUAUCUGCUUAAUGUUGGACAAACUGCAGUUGUCAUUCCCUGUAACGGAGUUCUUUAAUCUCAUUAAUAACCUACAGAUACCAAAGUGCAGCUUCAAGUAAAGCUGGCUGGAGCGUGCCAGAUUUCCAGUGUGCAGUUUCAGCUCUGGGGUGGGGUGGGUUAAAGAGCCCUGGUCGUGGUGGGCUGCAGCCCCUGCCCCACUGCUGCUGUGCUAGAGCAUCCAUGAACAAAUUUUUUUAUAAAAAAAGUCCAAUGCAGAGAGUGAAGAGGUAAGGGUAUGAGCUCAGCCAGAUGCCAUGACUAGGACACAGCGUAUGACGGAAGCAAGUCCUCCAAAAUACUCUUUCUGGGAAGCGCUCUGCACAGUGCCCACCCAUCAUCCCCACUGUAACCAGCGGCCAAGCAAAGGGCAAGCAGCGAGAACGCGCCUGGCCCGAGGCCUGGCCCAGCAGUGCAUCAUCAGCCCUGCAGCCCCACGCAGCUGUCCGGGCGCGCUGCCGCCACGUCCAAGCUCAGCACGGCUCUGGGGAGCCCAAAAUGUAUCGUGAAAUAAAAACAGCUGCGAGGGAAACUCAUAUGACUAGGAUAGGUGCCAUCUAGCAAUUAACAGCCAGAAGUUUUGAUCUGGAAAAUCACAUUUAUUUUAAUUGCUUCGCUGUUGUGUUCAUAAAGAAUUUGGCUCAUUUUAGUAUUUUCCUUAUUAGAUAUACGAUUUAACUUUGGAACAAUGUAGUCAUUAGUUCCAUUGUUCCAGAUUUUUCAUCACGGGGAAAUGAAUGAUGGAGACAUGUUCUGCAAGGAAGAUUGUUUAUAAAUAUUUAUCCUCGUCUUAACAGAUAUUUCUGUAAUCCAGCUGAAUUUCCUAGCACAGAAUUCAACAGUUGUUAAUCUGGCGCACGGCGAGCGGCACAUUUCCUAACCUCUGAGUUCAGCGAGAGAUCUUAUCAAGGGAACCAAGCAAAAGAAGAAGGCUUUUGUUUUAUGAUUAUUUCCUUUGCAAGACCCAAUUCUUUCCAUUCCCUUCAGUGGAAAGACGCGUGCAUCCAACUGCCACCACCACUGCCAUCCACCAACACGCUGACCCACGGUAGGCGUUGCCCUCAGAGCUCUGUGCCAUGGGCAGGAUCAGGCCCUUCACAUGGGGCUGGGAGGGGGAGCCAUAAAAAAUGCAUGGGCCUUUCUGCUGGGAACGAGGCUGCUCAGCUGAAAGGAAAUGGGAGGUGAAAAAUGGAAUUUGGCAGUUGUGCGCCGUUCCACCGUUUGGUGCUUGUUGUGGGACUCCAGCAAAAGGGAGCUAUCACUACGGGCAUAAUUUACUUGAUUUUAAGGAUCUGUAUGAAUUCUGGCACCAUACCAAGUAGCCAUUAGCUAUGAGGAGUGCUUCCCAAUGCUCAUUUGUUUUCCAUGUGUGAAUUUUUGCUCAUCUCAUUCUUUAGAAAAAAAUUUUUCCUCAUCAAUUCCAUGUGGAAAAUACAACAAAAAUCCAGAUAAUGAAUUAAUUCAAGAAACACAACAGUUUUUGUUUUUUUAAAUGGAAAACCACUAGUUCUGGAAUCAGACUGUCAGCCUGCUUUGAUUUCUGAUAUCUUAAAGCUAAGUGUUAUAAAAUGAUACGGUUGUUCACAUGCUCCAGGUUAGGCUUUUGGGCAAAUUACCCUAAAUAAGGUAACUCAAUAGCUAGGUAGGCAGGCUUUAAUGCUAUUACUAUUAGGAAAAUACCAUUAAUACGAGACAUAUGCGGGCCACUAUUGCAUCAGCAAGGCCUCACUCAGGCAGUAUGUGGGAGCAGUGCUGUGGAUCGCAGCAGCAGUGCUGGGCCUUCAAACACGUAACGUGCCUUACUCUUGAGGUCAAAAUCUGUUAAUGCAAUUUUGAGUGUAAGAGCAAGAAUUUAAAAUCCAUGUGGUUUUAAUGCCACGUUCUGAGAUGGGGGGGCUGGGUUUGUUGUGUUUCUUUAUUUGGCCUGCUCGCACUGAACGUGAACUCCUUUGAAAUGUGUGUGUCACAUUAAGACUAAUUUGUGAGAUGAACAAAAACAAAAUCUCGUUCCACUUCUUUGCUCAAAAAGUUCGAUUUUGGUUGCAUUUCAAAUUAUAAGGACCAUUAUUGGCCAUUUGCAUUUGCUUCUUUUUGAAGCAUUACACAAUAAACUGAAACCCUGUGUCAGAUGUACUGCUCCCAGAUAAGUGCGCUGAGAUAAAGUGAGACCUCUAAGAGGAUGCCUGCCCUUACAACGAGUGUUCCCCUUUCAAACAAUUAAUACAUUUGGAUUUCUUCAUUUUUGCGGUCUCGUAGCACAACUUACAGCUAAAACACUGUGUUGAACACGCAUAUUUUGGUCCAAGCUCUUCUCUGUGUCUAUUUAACAGCUACUCACAGCUGUCUCUGCUUUAAACAUAUUGGGAUAAAAUUUCAUUACAAAGCCUUGAUGCAAAAAGAAAAGGAAAAUGGAUGCAGUAGGGAGGGCACAGGGUGAGCAUGCAUGGCCAGCACCCCAUGCAGCAGGACCAUGCUGGCAGUGGGGGGUGGGUGGGGAGAGGGCAGGGGCAUCCUCAACCUGGGCCCUGCGGGCAUGGGCAGGCCCAUGGCAUCCUGAGCUGCUGCUGGUUUGGCUGUGCAAAGCACACCUGCUGCCCUCUUAGCAUGGAGGAGGGAAAGCUCCCAUUCAUUUCUCUGAGUGCUAAGACACAGAGAAGUGGUUCAGUGGUGCAGUAAGCACAGAGAAACAGCAGUGACAGUGACAGGAAGGUACUGUCCCUCUGGGUGCUGGCCGCCACCUGACUGCCAUCUAGGAGCAGCUCUGCUGGUGCCUGCAGGAGACUGGUUUUAAUGUGGCAUAUCUGCUUAACAGCUUUGCUGAUCAUGCUGCUGCUACAUGUGCACAUUUUAAAUGUACUUUUAAAUGUACUUUGAGGACUUCCUUUGACCUCCCACAGCAGAUGUGGGAACCCGCCAGCCUUGAGCUGCACACAGAGUGCAGUGCAGCUCCUGCUGCCUGUGUCCCCCUGCUCCCAUAUGUAGCUCUGUGCUGCAGGCAGGGCUCCCACCACCCACCCUGCACACUGCUGUGUAAACCAGUGUCACCUGCUGUGCCCCUACAGGUCCAUGAGCCAUGGCAGUGCCACAGCCUGGGCGAGCCUCUCAUUCUAGCAACCCUCUGUGAUCUAACAUACAGAUGUCCUGAAAUGUCUUUAUGUAGAGACAUGUAAUGUGAUGCACACACAUACAUACACUUGUCUCCUUAUCCAUAUCUCUAUGUAUAAAGAUAUAUACACAAAGAGCACAGUAACACUGUUUGAUAGAGCAGAUUACCAGCAACAAACGCUAUUCUCCAACACGGUCACCACCAUCAGCUCUGCAUUUUCACCAGCAAUGAACAAGAGCCCACGUGCCACUUUUGUACACAUCUGCACCAGCAGAGGUGACCACUGUCCCUGCCCACCACUUCACUGCACUCACAUCCACUGGCUGGUCUCCAUAAAUAUUCAAGCAAGAGUCGAUGAAUGUUAGUGAUGCAUUUUGUUUUUUAAACUUACCUGUUCCUGGGGAUUCUCCCUUGAGCUCUGCACCUGAUGGAGGUGUUGCGGUGGUCUGGCUCUGCUUUCACUGCACCCGUGAUCAGCCUUGCUGAGUGCACCUUCGGUGCUUUUAACACGAACAUCUCUCACUUCGAUCACCGUGGCUGCAGAAUCCUUUUUCUAAAAUUUAAAUUACAACCCCAGCGAUUAUGAUAUGAACUUAAACUCUUAUACUGACUCACAGCCUGAGUGUGCCAUGAUGCCACCAGCAAGGCAGCCACGCACAGGCCUUGCAGCAAGCAGCCCCACAUGCCGAUGAGGGCUGGCAUGGCGCCGGCUCUGCUACACACAGGCACAACUUUACACAAAGAAAGUAGAACGUUUUUAAAAAACAACAUCUCCUUUUCACUUUCUCGGUGAACUCAUGUCUGUUUUAUGGUGCAGCAGGCCUGGAUUUGCAAGGUUUCAUUCUUCUGGUUUGCAGUACCAGAAACAUACUGCUAUCUGUGCGAAUAAAGCAUUUUCUCCAAGAACACGCCUAAUAGUUCGAGUCAGCCCACCAGAUGGGUUGUAAAACACUUUGAAACAACUCCACUCGAAGGAUAUUGUACUCCUGGAGCUGUAUGUUUGGUUUAUUAUAAACAGAGCUUUCUAAGUAAAAAACAUAGAAAUGCUGUCUACUUCUGAAGCAAUCUGACAUGUGGAGCUGCUCUAGAUCUCUGCAGAAACAGAACUGAAUUUAUCACUCCCCCUAAAUAUCAAAGGGUCUCGAGAAGCAGCCGUAUCACUUUGGGUCUUUGUAACUGGAAGGCAGUGCGGGUGACUGACAAGCCCACAUACUUUUAAUUUAUCAGCAUUCAGCAGCCUCCCUGCCGUGAGCCAGCUCCAGGCCUUCCUGAGUGAGCUCCUGCUCCUCAGCAGCACUGCAGGACAGCAUCCCACUCCAUAGGGUAGCAGUUUGCCCCUUUGUCCCCAUACAUGGCCACAGGAUGGUCCGUGGCCCCACUGUGUCCAUCCCCACUGUCUCCUCCCCUUCCUCCCAGCUCACCCCAUGGGAUGCUCACUCCCCAGUCACGGCCCAACCCAGGACACCCAAUGACCAGACCAGCCAGGUGGCACACAAUGUGGCAGAGGCAGUGGAGCCAGGGACAUGCUCCUAGUGGCACCCACUGACAGAGGCCAGGUCUGAAGCUCUGAGCCUGGCUGCGGGGCACCCGUGUCCUCACCGGCACCGUGGCCACACCAUUUCAGAUCCUGCCUCAUCAGUCACACCUCACUGUGUGACCUUUCCGUUGUAAAAUGGUCCUCUGGGACUGGCUCUGUAGACAGGGCCAUUGCAUCUCCCUAGAAGCUGGGAGAAGCUCAACUCAGUGAGUUUCCAUACCAUGGAGGAACCAGCAGUGGUGAUGAAGCUUUUGGCACUUUGGCUUUCUCCUCCUUGGGGGCUCAUUUUUAUCUCCAAGUCAGUGGUAACAUUUCCUUCCACCAUCUCACAUUUGGGUUGACUUCCAUAUUGGCAAGGCUCAGGAGACCUGGGAAGGGCAGUGAAGCACUGUGGCCAACACUUACCAUUUCCAAUCACUGUUUCACUCUUUUUUCAGAGCCCCAGACACUGGGAUUGUCCCUGUAAAACACAAUUAGUGCCUGCAUUAUGAUUUGUUAAACAUCACCCAGAAGAGAAAAGCU